UGCCAGCAGCCGCGGUAAUACGGAGGGUGCAAGCGUUGUCCGGAAUUAUUGGGUUUAAAGGGUGCGUAGGCGGUCUUUUAAGUCAGAGGUGAAAUCCCACAGCUUAACUGUGGAACUGCCUUUGAUACUGGAAGACUUGAGUACACUAGAGGUAGGCGGAAUUUAUGAUGUAGCGGUGAAAUGCAUAGAUAUCAUAAGGAACACCAAUUGCGAAGGCAGCUUACUGGAGUGUAACUGACGCUGAGGCACGAAAGCGUGGGGAGCGAACAGGAUUAGAUA
rnacentral:rRNA from 1 species